AAUCAACGCUGGCGGCGCGCUUAACACAUGCAAGUCGCACGAGAAAGUGGAGCAAUCCAUGAGUACAGUGGCGUACGGGUGAGUAACACGUGGGUAAUCUACCUCUUAGUGGGAAUAACUCUGGGAACCGGAGCUAAUACCGCAUAAGCCUGGAAAGGGAAAGCAGCGAAUGCGCUGAGAGAGGAGCCCGCGGCCGAUUAGCUAGUUGGUA
rnacentral:rRNA from 1 species